UACGAAGGGUGCAAGCGUUGUUCGGAAUUACUGGGCGUAAAGGGCGCGUAGGCGGCCACCGCAAGUCGACUGUGAAAUCUCCGGGCUUAACCCGGAAAGGUCAGCCGAUACUGCGGGGCUAGAGUGCAGAAGGGGCAACUGGAAUUCUCGGUGUAGCGGUGAAAUGCGUAGAUAUCGAGAGGAACACCUGCGGCGAAGGCGGGUUGCUGGGCUGACACUGACGCUGAGGCGCGAAAGCUAGGGGAGCGAACGGG
rnacentral:rRNA from 1 species